GCCCGGAUGGCUCAGUCAGUUGAGGGUCUGACUUCAGCUCAGGUCAUGAUCUCGCAGUUUGUGGGUUUGAGCCCCACCUUGGGCU
rnacentral:tRNA from 1 species